rnacentral:rRNA from 1 species
UACGUAGGGUGCAAGCGUUAAUCGGAAUUACUGCGCGUAAAGCGUGCGCAGGCGGUUUUGUAAGUCUGAUGUGAAAUCCCCGGGCUCAACCUGGGAAUUGCAUUGGAGACUGCAAGGCUAGAAUCUGGCAGAGGGGGGUAGAAUUCCACGUGUAGCAGUGAAAUGCGUAGAGAUGUGGAGGAACAACGAUGGAGAAGGCAGCC